AAUGGGCACCGACUUAGUGCUGGAAGUACACUGGGGAGCUUGUGCAGUGGAGUCACCUUGGAGGCGAGUGACCCAUGAGCAACGCCGGGUCAUCGUGCUCGAGUUGGACCGCUUGGCUGCGACGACGUUGAGCUAGAUCGACAUGGUGUUCGUCUGGCUUGUCAUCAUUGUGACCGAGUGGAGGAGUGGCAAGGCGAAGCAGGUGGCUUCAAGCUCCGCGGUGGAGUCACCUGGGAGGCGGACGGCCCAAGAGCAGCGCCGGGUGUUCGCGCUCAUAGUUUCACUAGUCUCUUCGAGAGUGCGCUCUCAAUGUUGUUUUGAUCCCUUUGGGAUUGGGGUAAUGUACAUAUAUGUUUAGCGAA